rnacentral:rRNA from 1 species
GACGAACGCUGGCGGCGUGCUUAACACAUGCAAGUCGAACGGAAAGGCCCCUUUGGGGGUACUCGAGUGGCGAACGGGUGAGUAACACGUGAGUAACCUGCCCUUGACUUCGGGAUAACUUCAGGAAACUGGGGCUAAUACCGGAUAGGAAUCCUUGCUGCAUGGUGGGGGUUGGAAAGCUUCGGCGGUUUUGGAUGGACUCACGGCUUAUCAGCUUGUUGGUGGGGUAGUGGCUUACCAAGGCUUUGACGGGUAGCCGGCCUGAGAGGGCGACCGGCCACAUUGGGACUGAGAUACGGCCCAGACUCCUACGGGAGGCAGCAGUGGGGAAUAUUGCACAAUGGGCGGAAGCCUGAUGCAGCAACGCCGCGUGCGGGAUGACGGCCUUCGGGUUGUAAACCGCUUUCAGCAGGGGCGAAGCUUGUGGUGACGGUACCUGCAGAAGAAGCACCGGCUAACUACGUG